rnacentral:rRNA from 1 species
UACGUAGGGUGCGAGCGUUAAUCGGAAUUACUGGGCGUAAAGCGUGCGCAGGCGGUUUUGCAAGCCGGAUGUGAAAUCCCCGGGCUUAACCUGGGAAAUCGGCAUUUGGGACUGCAAGGCUGGGAGUGCGGCAGAGGAGACUGGAAUUCCACGUGUAGCAGUGAAAUGCGUAGAGAUGUGGAGGAAUACCGAUGGCGAAGGCAGCCCCCUGG